UAAUAUUUCUAUAUUUGCUUUUGGAGACAGAACAUGUGUCAGUAAUCGUUGGUUUAGACUUCUAGGUCUGGUUUGGGGUUUGGUACAGAUGGUUUUAUGGCUGCAAAUGUCUUAUGUUGUUGAACGCCCACAAGAUGCUCGAUGAAAUGCCGAAGAGAGUGGCUUGUUUGUAAAAUUGCAGUUUUUUGGUGGUAUAUGGAUGAGAAGCAGAUGAUAGUGAGUAGAGUUUUGUUACUUGGGGGUAGAAAAUUCUCUUCGCCAUGAGAUAGACUAUUAGAGUUAAGCGGGUAAAAACCCGGACUCGUUUUGUGAGACAAAAGAACCUGAAAAAGUUCUCACUUUGACUAUUCUUGCUUCUAUCAAGCCAUUGCAAUUGUUCUUGGAAAAGUGAAACACACACUCUCGUUGUCUCAUCUUGCUGUGAAUUAUCAUUCUUAUCUGCUGAGUUCAAGACUGGAUUAAGCAUGAUUCUUGAAGAUAGGAGUGUGACUGAGAUAAUAUGCAUUCACUGGAAACCAUGGUCUACUUUUCAAAGGUAAUGUCUCUGUUCUUUCAAUUUGAGACAGAACAAAAGGAAAGAAGUAGAUAUUAAGUUAAGUGUGGUAGCUUGAGAAAUGGGAACAAAUGGUUAGAUUUGUAGGACUGGAAAUCUUUAUGCUAGAAAGAAAUAGGGGUAGUAUUGGACAUAACUCUCAAAAGGAAAGGAGAAGGGACAUUGUGUUUGAUUCAAAGCUAAGACAAGGCUGCAUUUGUGUCACUCAAAGGAGAAUAGGAAUUACCUCUGACAGAGUUUGAAAGAAAAACUCUACAAGUAUCAGAAUGUUUAAGAUCGUUCCUGGAGUACAUUCAGUCAUUCAGAUGAAAAGACGGAGAAACGGAGCUGUGGCGGGAAUGUAACUAGUAAAGUACUUUCUUGAGGAUUCGGCAGUGCUCAAGAAGUUUAUGCUGCGUUUGGGUUGUGAGAGAAUGAACAAAGAGUCUAUCAUUUUAAUGGAACUAUUGAGGUUAAGGAGAUAUACUAUGCUUAUUGUAUAGUCAUUGUUGAACUUGCUGAGACUGAUAAUGAUACAUAGGUGUUUCUACACUUAAAUGUGCAAUUUCCAUUUAGGAAAGUUUAGUAUUGGGAUUUGAUGUAUAUAUUCUUACCAGAACCAGUUCUCCAACUUAGGAAAUUUAUUUGUAAUAAUCUGAGUGACGCUCAGUAUUCUUCCAAGGACAAUUUGAC